GACGAACGCUGGCGGCGUGCCUAAUACAUGCAAGUCGAGCGGACGGAUGGGAGCUUGCUCCCAGACCGUCAGCGGCGGACGGGUGAGUAACACGUGGGCAACCUGCCUGUAAGACUGGGAUAACUCCGGGAAACCGGGGCUAAUACCGGAUAACUCUUUCCCUCACAUGAGGGAAAGCUGAAAGAUGGCAUCUCGCUAUCACUUACAGAUGGGCCCGCGGCGCAUUAGCUAGUUGGUGAGGUAACGGCUCACCAAGGCGACGAUGCGUAGCCGACCUGAGAGGGUGAUCGGCCACACUGGGACUGAGACACGGCCCAGACUCCUACGGGAGGCAGCAGUAGGGAAUCUUCCGCAAUGGACGAAAGUCUGACGGAGCAACGCCGCGUGAGUGAUGAAGGUUUUCGGAUCGUAAAACUCUGUUGUCAGGGAAGAACAAGUACCGGAGUAACUGCCGGUACCUUGACGGUACCUGACCAGAAAGCCACGGCUAACUAC
rnacentral:rRNA from 1 species